GUAGGGAAUAUUCCGCAAUGGGCGAAAGCCUGACGGAGCAACGCCGCGUGAGUGAAGAAGGUCUUCGGAUCGUAAAGCUCUGUCAACAGGGACGAAACAAGACGGUACCUGAGAAGGAAGCCACGGCAAACUACGUGCCAGCAGCCGCGGUAAUACGUAGGUGGCAAGCGUUGUCCGGAAUAACUGGGCGUAAAGCGCAUGUAGACGGCAUGAUAAGCCAAAUGUGAAAUGUAGGGGCUCAACCCCUACACGGCGAUUGGAACUGUCAAGCUUGAGUGUAGGAGAGGCAAAUGGAAUUCCCAGUGUAGCAGUGAAAUGCGUAGAGAUUGGGAGGAACACCAGUGGCGAAGGCGAUUUGCUGGACUGCAACUGACGUUGAGAUGCGAAAGCCAGGGGAGCAAACAGGAUUAGAAACCCGUGUAGUCC
rnacentral:rRNA from 1 species